rnacentral:sRNA from 9 species
AUGUACCACUUGUACAUUCCGGUUCCUCCGCGCCGUCCGCAUCUACCUGACGACUGCUCGCUCCGUUUUGGUAGCC